GACGAACGCUGGCGGCGUGCCUAAUACAUGCAAGUAGAACGCUGAAGACUUUAGCUUGCUAAAGUUGGAAGAGUUGCGAACGGGUGAGUAACGCGUAGGUAACCUGCCUACUAGCGGGGGAUAACUAUUGGAAACGAUAGCUAAUACCGCAUAACAGCAUUUAACCCAUGUUAGAUGCUUGAAAGGAGCAAUUGCUUCACUAGUAGAUGGACCUGCGUUGUAUUAGCUAGUUGGUGAGGUAACGGCUCACCAAGGCGACGAUACAUAGCCGACCUGAGAGGGUGAUCGGCCACACUGGGACUGAGACACGGCCCAGACUCCUACGGGAGGCAGCAGUAGGGAAUCUUCGGCAAUGGGGGCAACCCUGACCGAGCAACGCCGCGUGAGUGAAGAAGGUUUUCGGAUCGUAAAGCUCCGUUGUAAGAGAAGAACG
rnacentral:rRNA from 1 species